rnacentral:rRNA from 1 species
UACGGAGGGUGCGAGCGUUGUCCGGAAUCACUGGGCGUAAAGGGCGCGUAGGCGGCCUGGCAAGUCGAUGGUGAAAGCCCGAGGCUCAACUUCGGGUCGGCCACUGAUACUGCUGGGCUUGAGUCGACUAGAGGCAGAUGGAAUUCCGGGUGUAGCGGUGGAAUGCGUAGAGAUCCGGAAGAACACCGGUGGCGAAGGCAGCCCCCUGGGUCAAGAUUGACGCUCAUGCACGAAAGCGUGGGGAGCAAACAGG